rfam:Microgenomates (Levybacteria) bacterium GW2011_GWC1_40_19 TT87_C0027, whole genome shotgun sequence.
GCCGCGGUGGUGAAAUGGUAUACACGCAGUGUUCAGAACGCUGUAUCCGCAAGGAUGUGGAGGUUCGACUCCUCUCCGCGGCA